GAUCUCUCCUCUGGAGUCUCAUAGUGAGCCCAGGAUCAGAGACUUGCUCAAAGCCUAAAAAAAAAAAAAAACAACCACAGACUAUCUGGAAGAACAGUCUACCUGAACUUUGUACUUCUGGUAAAUGAACAACAUCUGCACUUGUGUGACAUUGCAAUAUUACACAGGCAAAAUGCCCUGAACUAUGAAAUUGCCUGUUUUUGGAGUAGCAUGUUCUCUGCCUCUAAGAUGCACGAGAUGUGAACUCCAAUGACUCCUGCUUGCUGAAAGAAGGGAUGAAGCAGGCUGCACUGCUUUGACGCAGCUUGCACUGCUUCUCUUCCAACACAUCCAGAAUGAAGGAGGACAACAGAAGGCAGACUGACCACAGCAGCUUACUACAGGAGGUGAGCUGCAAAAUGAGAAACUGGACCUACCCAUCUGUAGCAGGAGUCUGCAUCUCUCCAGGCAUGCUCAAAUAUUCUUCUUCCUCCUCUGCAAGGGGCAUUUGUCCUCCAUAGCCCUGAGCUGUAUCCCUGCAGUCCAAGGGUUACUAAGCACUGAUUCUCAUCACUUGCAUCUAUCCUGGCCUCUGUCGUAGUUCUGCCACCUGCAUAAACCACGACUGCCCAAAGAACACCAGGAUGAGAAGGUUACAAGUCAGGGCAGCUGUGGCAACCUGGACAAACACCACGUCAAAGCUGCUUCCUAAAUACCCACAUCUUCCAGACUGAAACAGGACCAUUUCAGACUGCCUGCACAGUCACUUUAUUUUACAGAGGAACACUACAACCCUUCAGCAGGAAACUUAUGACCAGCAAUAGAGUUAUUCAGUUAAAUUAAGACAGAGAAAGCUUUCAAGUCUACAGAGUUGUUUUAUUUAUAACUCAGCUGAGAGGCUCAUUUCUUCCAGAAAGUGAGAUGCAGAGAAUCAGGAGACCGGCAUUUUAAAAAAAGAAGACAAACAGAACAUACAGGGCUUAUCGUAUCCAUGUGUUAUGUGCUCUGAAACAAAGAGUGUCUUGAAAAUAUUAAGAGGUGACUAAAUGAGGAGUAGAAAAGUCAGCUACUUAGGGUAUGAGGAAGUGAGAAAACAUUAUAUAUGCCAUACCUUUCCUAUUGGAGCAGAAAGGCUGGAUUAUCAAGUCGAGUGAACAGGAAGCUUGGAUGGCAACAUUCCUGACAGAAGUAAUGAUGUUCUCACUCACGUAAUCGUACCUUAAGGGAUUGCCAAUCAGCUACAGCUGACCUGACAAUCACUAGAUGCUACAGGUUUGUGGACCCUGCCAUCAGCAAACCUAGAGAUCUUGCACGGCAUGCCCUGCAUGCUCCUGGGGUAACUGAGCCAAGCAAAACUGCACGAAGACCGCAGCAAGAACAGCUCCAGCAAUUGGUUAUCAGCAAGCAGUUCUGCAGCCUAAAGGCACACAAUAGGCUGAUCUUGCUUCAGUAACAUCUUAGUAUCUCCAGGUGUCUCUCUUCUUGCAACAGAGCACAUGAGCACAACUACAAUAAUCCGAACCAAAGCUACAGCAGCAGCCCUGGUUGUGUCUGUCAGAAAGUGACCUUUUAAAACAGCAUCCACUGCAUUUUCUGCAAGAUGAGUUCAGUGCUGCCUGACAGGACAGUGCUGCAAAUGAGAAGACUUCAGCUGCUCCUACAGAUGCCUCAGCUGGUUCAGAGCAGGAUGCUCGCUUGCUGACAUUAUGCACCCACACACACUGAGUGCCAUGAAUGUACUCUGAGGCCAUUCAGCAGGUGGGAGGGAGAGAAUUGGAAGGCCACAAAGGCUGGUAAUGCCUGGAGCAAAACCACAGCUUGGAGAUGAGCAUGGCAAUGAAUUUGCAUGUCGGGUCUGGUCAUCUCCUCAUUGCAGAUCAAAAGGACAAUAAUUCAAAGGAACCUUCAAAAGAACUGAACCUUUUCACAAGAAAUUCAUUGCUAGCUGGAGGCUGGGAGAGGACAGGGAAAGAAGGGAUACAAAUAAUGUGCAGUAUUCUAGAUCCAAAAGGAAACAUCACCAUUUUCAUCAGCCAUGCUAGGACUUUAAGUGCACGCUUUCUUCUCUGAAGACUACAGAAAUGGGUCGGCUACCACUGUAAGCCUUUAGACAUACAGAGGGAAAGCAUCUGGAAUGAAAAAAACAAGUAAGAAGUUUAUCAACAUGACAUGUUAAACCCACACAAAUGGGUUCAUCUGAAUGGGUUCAUCAUCCAAAGCCUACAACUUGCUUGCCCAUUGUUGUUAGCUGUCAUACUGAAAACAGGAGGGAGAAAAAAGGGGGAUAUUAAAACACAGUUAUUCUUACACUGCAAUCUGCUGUCAGGAAUCUUUACUUGUCCAUUGGUAUUUCACAAAGGAACAGAAAAUGACAUUCAAAGAACAAGAACUGUGGAUAAAACGUUAUCCAUGAAGAUAAUGAAAGACCCUUGAAGUCUGACCAGAACUUCUCCUGCAUAGCACAGUCACAGCACUGGACAGAAUCCUGGAGCAGUUCUCCUACUCAACCUGAAUCUCAGAAAUACUUCAUGUAGAAUAGAAAAUUAGAAGACAAAGCCUAAGUACGCCAGAACCUAUUCAUGAACUCUAAGCUGUUAAAAUCUUGGUUGCAUUUUUGGGUGCUUACAUGUACAUGUAUGUAUGUCUGUAUGUAUUCACAUGCAGCAUGGGAAGGAAGCUUGUUUGAGGGUAUUUUUCUCUAGCUUUCCUCUGUGACAUUUUUGCUAUGCAAUUUGGAGUUCAUGCUAGGAAGUAGAAUUUCAGCCAAGAACAGGCAUGCAUCUCACCUGAACCAAAGCAAUAGGAUGGUGCAAGAGUCUUCACUAUAUACUUUCACAUUACUGGACAAAAGUUGCUUCCUAGCUGAGUGACAGAAAUGAGCAUGAGCCAGAACAGGCCAUAAGGAAGAAGAGAGAUACCACCUCUAAUCCUGUCAUCCUUUCAGGCCUCUGUGACCUUAGGCUAGACCUUUUUAAACAGCUUGCCUUGCGUGGGAAUCCCCAACAACUUGUUUUAAUGCUUUUUCAUCCCUCUUGCUUGACAUUUGCUCCCAAUAUCCAAUAACCCAGUAAUUUUCAGUCCUUUAUAGAACUUGAAUUUUUUUCAAUGAAAGUGUACAAAACUUUAGAAAUGGACAACAGCUCUCCCUCUCUACAAAGCAGUCCAUUCAUUAGCAUCAAACUGCUGUCAUUUAAUCCCAGGCCUUAUUUUGACACAGAGAACAGUUUAUUCCCUUUGUUAUUGCAGCUACCUUUUCACAUAUUUAAAAGAGCGAUUGCUUCCUUGAAGCCUCAGCCUGCUCUAGACUAAAAGCAAGCCCUUUUCUGCAGCCUUCCUUGUAAGAUGUCACCUAGAACUCCAGCUUCUUACCUUGGCCUCUUUAUUCAAGGUGGAGUUUUUUCCCCAAAACAACAUUUCAUUCAGUUUUACAGUGCGGAAGAGACAGACAUCACGUGUUUCCGAAGUCAAAAGAAAACACUCAGCCUUGGAAAAAACCCUAUCCUUGCUCUAAAACAGCAUCAUUCAUCAAUGCUUUAGAAAGCAGUGCUGCAUCUGUUCUGGAAGUAACUGGACAGCCUGUCUUUCAGUUGCAAACAGAGCCCUGACUGAAUCACCACAGAGGCAAAAGGAAACCACAAAUGUGUGUAGGGACACAGGAGUCUCACACCAUGCCAAGAUUGCUGCAUUGGGAACAGCAAGAAUUUGUAACACAACUACACCAUUCGUUACGCAAGAGCCAAAAGAACAGCCUUGGGCCACAGAUGAAUCAAUAAAAUGAGGUUAGGCUUAAUGGGAAGUGUUUAUUUCAGUACUAAACACUGCCAAAAAACAUUAUUAAUGCUUUCUCAGCAGCAUCUCAAGUGGAAGGUUAUCCAUUAUAACAACAUAGAUGGCAUUAUAAAAUGACACUCAAAAAACCUUACAGUCAACAGCUAGUUUCAGAUUCAUCACUUCUACUGAGCUGCUCUAGAUUACAGAAGUUGCUAAACGAGCUAUAUAACCCAGCCCACUUGCCAUAUGUCCCUUUCAAAUUAUUUAGCAGAACGGAUUGCUGGAAACAGUCUCAUCUGAGGCAUGCCACCUUCUCUCACAGGCAGGAAAAAAGGGUGACAACAAAGGUCCUUCCUACUAGCUCUUUAACAAGAGUUACCGUUCACUCAAGAGAAGGUACCAAAUGGUAAGAUGGCAUCUGUCCCACUCAGUUCCCCUGUUCAGGAACAGUUAAGAAAAUAACACUGGAUCUUGAUGCAUAUGUUGAACAGGACCUGAUGUUCAUGAACACACACAGCAUAUGUCUGUAAAUUAUUAUGUCUCAGCUAGGACCCCAAGUGUCAUCCUACGUGAUCUUACAGGACCAGGGAAGUUCUAUCUUCUCCAGGCAACUACAGCAUUUGUUGCAAGCUGCAAUUAUCAUCGUUACGUUCUUACAGACUGUCACUUAAUUGCAACUUACAGAAUCUUCUGGUGGUCUCUGAAUCUUCCCCCAGUCCACAGAUGGUCCCUUCUCCUGUAGGAAUCUAUGAAAUAGCUUCUUAAAUCCUUCCAGGUCCUUUUUAGUGUGCUACAAGAAAGAAAUACACUAGUUAACAGAUAUUUAUUGCUUACCUUUUAGAUCAUGGAAGCAUUGUUACAAACUUGACAUAAAGUCCACUCACAAGAAUAAUUUUAUCCACAUACGAAGUACAGACACACUAAAUUUUAAGUAAAAAGGUGCCAGAAGACCAUCUUCACUAAAGCUCAAGAUAAGAAAACAACAAAAACAAAAAAAAUGCCCAACACAUUUUGGACAGCUAAAAGGUCUUCAGUCAAAAUUAUAACCAGAAGAAUCUGGCCCAAUCUUUAGGAUAACAGUUUUACCCUUCCUGUAUAUAAUCUGUAAUGGAUUACAGAGAACCUUUAAUAACUAAAGAUGAUUAAACACUAGGUAAUAACUCUGCCAUGUGUUUUGCAUGGAACUGAAGUCUCCUACAGACACUGCAGCCAUGCAACUCUUCACGGGAUUAGAGAACAUCCUAUAAGUAAGGACUGCAUCGUGCUGUGAUUUGUCCCCCUGUAUAAAAUUUGCUUCUGUCUCCUGCCCCUAACAGACUUCUUACCUCUAGCUCAUUUGAGGGCGCAGUCGCGAGUAUUUUAUCAAGUUCUACUUUCAUUGAAUACGCCAGCUCUUGCCGAAUGACUUCCUGGAACUGCGACGGGCCGGCCUGGGACAUUGCUUUGCUGAAAUCUUCAAUGAAAAUGAAAUACAUGAGUUCAAGGGAGUGAGUAAACGGAUACAUAAAACUAACUUACUUAUACUACGGACAGCUCUCAUGUUUCCUUUAUAAAUAUAUGGGGCUGCUCUGGAAUAAUGCCUCCUAUUUCGUUAUUUCGUCCCACAACAUCAGAGGCGGAUGUCGGU